rnacentral:tmRNA from 1 species
ACGAAAACCAAAGGCGAAGAUAAGCAUGUAGAAAGCAUAUUGCUUCCUUGUUUGGACACGGGUUCGACUCCCGUCAGCUCCACAA